rnacentral:misc_RNA from 1 species
GUACAUUAGUGCUUGCGCACGACAAUAAAUUUCAUUACAUUCGAGUGUGUGUAAAAAUCCUCUGCCAGCCAAAGCCAGCAAGAGGCCAAAGGUUCACAGGGGUAUUGGAUGAAAAGCCGCCAACGUGCACUUGCCAGAGCUGGCCAGCACUGAAGACAACGAUUCGCAAUCAAUAAUGAUCCUUCCGCAGGUUCACCUACGGAAA